UCUACAAAUUUUAAAAAUUAUGCCCAAGUAAUUGAAAAUAAAAAGAGUUAUGCUGCUACAUUAAGUGAAAAAAAAGAAGCAUGGGAUUUCAUCGCAACCGACUUUAAUUCAUCUAGUAUAAUUACUGAAAGGCGAAAUGCAGAUCAACUCAAAAAACUUUGGUCAAAUCUAAAAACAAAACAACGGAAUGCGCUGACAACCAAAAAGCAACAUCGCCUUGCAACUGGGGUCGGUCCAUCAAUUCCAGAUUCUGAAGUUGAUCCUGAUAUUUCCUUAUUGCCCCAAACUUAAUUAAAACUGCACCGAUUUUAUUUUCUUCAAAUAAGUCUGAAGAAGAAGUUACUAGGACGUUUUCAUCUUUUUUUCCUUCUCUAAGUGUAAUGCUGUUGACUCAAUGGAAUGUGAAGAAUACAUAAGCCUUGAACAACUAUUCCCAGAUGAUGAGAAUGAUGGCAAUGAUGAUGAAGAAUUACCACGUGAACCCUCAUCGUCUAUUGUUACUAAAAAAUCCUCAACAAUAUAGGAAAAGAACUAAAGGAAGAAAAAAUCCACCCAAUGAAGACGAGAAAUUCUAUAGAAGCGAAAGGUUAAGAAAAUAAUAAAGCAAGAAGAGAAAUUAUUUCAACUGAAAUGUCAACAUAAAGAAGAGAUACAUAAUCUAACAA
rnacentral:lncRNA from 1 species